GAAUAGCCAGUCUAGUGUUUAGAGGUUUUAGCCUGAUGAUCUCUAGCAUUCUCAUAAUUUGCUUCUUAUCUGCAUUGAGCUGCAGCUCACGAUAUAAAAGCAUUAGUAUUUCGUGUAAAGUAAGAGUUAAUAGGCCCUGAAUGAUUAGAGUACGAGAAAGAAUAAAGAAAAGAACAAAGGGGUAAAAUAGCCUGGCUAAUUUUGUGUUUUUAGUUGAGUCAGGGUUUCUCCAUGUUGGUCAGGCUGUUCUCAAACUCCAGACCUCAAGUGAUCCGCCUGCCUCAGCCUCCCAAAGUGCUGGGAUUACAGGAGUGUGCCACCGCGCCUGGCCCAUUGUAUUAUUCUCACUCUGGUAAUUGUUAUAUAUGAAGAUACGGGACAAACACAUUGGUCCUUUCCUGCCCAUCUUCCUUGUGUUUUCUUCUGCAAAAUCCUGGCCAACUUAUUUACAAUUUAAUAUUCUCCAAAUAAUACCUAAUGAUAUAGUCUAAUGCUGGAUUCGAAAGCAUUAUUUAGAUUUUUGCGCCUUUUUGGCUUGAAGUUUAAGUAUAGUUUGCUUGGCCUUGGUAUUUUUGGCCCCAAGCAUUGCUGCCAGUCUUCAAAGAGCCACUUCUCCCUUUGCAGAAUAUGCCCUUUCUACUAUCAAGAACCAUGUUGUAGACAAGCAGAUUCUCUUUUGUGCCACCUACAUAUUUCCCAAAGCCUCCUUGUGUUCUCAGCUAAACUUGGCAGCAGAUAUCAUACUUCUACCACCUCUAUGCUUGUGCCCUUCAGCUUCCUCCUUUGUCUUCAUGCCUCUAGAAGGACAGUGACUAUGUCUCCUAAAGACAGCACUGAUUAUCACACGU
rnacentral:lncRNA from 1 species